GUGGGGAAUAUUGGACAAUGGGGGAAACCCUGAUCCAGCCAUGCCGCGUGUGUGAAGAAGGCCUUAGGGUUGUAAAGCACUUUUGGCAGGAAAGAAAUCGCACGGGAUAAUACCUCGUGUGGAUGACGGUACCUGCAGAAUAAGCACCGGCUAACUACGUGCCAGCAGCCGCGGUAAUACGUAGGGUGCAAGCGUUAAUCGGAAUUACUGGGCGUAAAGCGUGCGCAGGCGGUUCGGAAAGAAAGAUGUGAAAUCCCAGGGCUUAACCUUGGAACUGCAUUUUUAACUACCGGGCUAGAGUGUGUCAGAGGGGGGUGGAAUUCCGCGUGUAGCAGUGAAAUGCGUAGAUAUGCGGAGGAACACCGAUGGCGAAGGCAGCCCCCUGGGAUAACACUGACGCUCAUGCACGAAAGCGUGGGGAGCAAACAGGAUUAGAUACCCCAGUAGUCC
rnacentral:rRNA from 1 species